rnacentral:rRNA from 1 species
CCUACGAGAGGCUGCAGUGAGGAAUAUUGGUCAAUGGACGAGAGUCUGAACCAGCCAAGUAGCGUGAAGGAUGACUGCCCUAUGGGUUGUACACUUCUUUUAUAUGGAAAUAAAACAGGGUAUGCAUACCCUCUUGUAUGUACCAUAUGAAUAAGGAUCGGCUAACUCCUUGCAAGAAGCCGCGGUAAUACGGCGGAUCCUAGCGUUAUCCGGAUUUAUUGGGUUUAAAGGGAGCGUAGGUGGAUGUUUAAGUCAGUUGUGAAAGUUUGCGGCUCAACCGUAAAAUUGCAGUUGAAACUGGCAGUCUUGAGUACAGUAGAGGUGGGCGGAAUUCGUGGUGUAGCGGUGAAAUGCUUAGAUAUCACGAAGAACUCCGAUUGCGAAGGCAGCUCACUGGACUGCAACUGACACUGAUGCUCGAAAGUGUGGGUAUCAAACAGGAUUAGAUACCCGGGUAGUC